GGAAGACAGAACUGCCUCUUUUGGAGGUUAUGCCCUUCCAAAAUCAGACUGUUUAUGGCCAUUCAGUUUGAAAAUUACAGAGGUGGUGGGUGGCAGUUAUCUUUUUUAUUGAAGAUAAUUAUUUGGCAAAAUAAGAGUUGCCCUUGGCUAUCUAGCCUUCCAAUUAAAAAAAAAAAAAAAAAAAGAAGCUUGUUUGUGAAAUCCUGAAGUUUAGGAACCAAGUUAAGCUGACUUGAGAGGUUCACUCACACGCACUAGCUCCCUGAGUGUGUGAUUAAAUUUAUGGCUUAGCAAAACAAAACAAAACAACAAAAAACCACUGGUCGUGACGCUCAGAGAUCACUCGCAAUAGUCAGGAGUUAACAGAAAGUGUGUGCACCCAAAUUGUCUACCAUCCUUCUAUAAAAACUGGCUGCUUUUAAAGGUUUGUCUAUUAAAAUGCUAUCAUGUUUUGCUUUGUUUGGUUUCCUUUUAAAGACAGUUGUUUAGGUGAUGUGUGAGGGAUUAAAAAGCCACCCCUGAGAUAAAGCUGACCUGCUUGCAGGAAAGCCACGAUGGAAGGCGGAAGUAUAGAUGAUGGAGGAUUUACGGAGAAUGCGCAGACACAGAUGUGACGUGGAGGGGAGGGCGACUCAGGCCCUUCCUCGCAAAGACUCAUCUAACUGUCGGGGCAACUGUGGGUGCUGCCAUGUCGGAUGAGACGACUGGGGAGUGAGAGGCAGGAAAGCAGCCGAAAGGCCGGGGGGCAGUGUUCUCCAAGGCCUCUCAGAAAAGACAGGAGAGCUUCUCUACACCCCGCUCUCCAGUGGGGAAGCCUGCUUACUUAUAACGGACCCAACAGUAAAUGCAGUCCCCACCACUCUUGGCCAUUGUCAGAAGGGAUAGGUCUGAGGGUCCGGGCAAGAGCAGACCGACGGCCUGGAGAGAGCUUUUGGAAGAUCCAGUUCCUUUUUCAAAUACUUUAUAAAUGUGUCGCACAUUGCAAAGAUGGUGGGAAGCUUCCAGAGGUGCCGAGUCUUGGGCUCCUGGCAAAUCCUGGUGGUAACAUGCCUUCUGACUGUCAAGCUGGGGAUUUCCUUUCUGAUCGUUCCAUGUGGAGGAACAUUUUAUACACUUACAAAGUUCUUCCUGCGCACAUGGUUGGACUCUGCAGCUGAGCCACCACAUCAUCUGGUCCAUAGGGCUCCAUCUGCAGAGAAUGUCAUCCAAUUGGGCAAGAAGUCUUCUGUCCUAGGACUUCUCUGAUUGGAGCUUGAGCAGUGCCUAUCCUGAGGUCAAGAGAAACGGAGCUUUGCCAAGGCAGAGACUGAGCCACACCUAGAACAGACUCCUUAAUUCCCAGGGAAAGGAUUGUCAGGUGAUACCAGGUUUCCUGCCAUGAAAAUAUUGCUUAACUCAAAGUAUUUCUGAGCACUUUGCUCCUGAUCGUUUUGUCUCAGCUAGUGC
rnacentral:lncRNA from 1 species